GGGCAGCACAGUGGCUUAGGUGAGCACUGUCGCCUCACGGCAAGAGGUUGUGGGAUCAUUUCCCGUCUGGCCCUUUCUGUGUGGAGUUUGCAUGUUCUCCCCAUGCUUACGUGGGUUCCCUCCGGGUGCUCCGGCUUUCUCCCACAUCCAAAGACAUGCAGAUUA